AGUGAACGCUGGCGGUAGGCCUAACACAUGCAAGUCGAACGGCAGCACAGUAAGAGCUUGCUCUUACGGGUGGCGAGUGGCGGACGGGUGAGGAAUACAUCGGAAUCUACUUUUUCGUGGGGGAUAACGUAGGGAAACUUACGCUAAUACCGCAUACGACCUACGGGUGAAAGCAGGGGAUCUUCGGACCUUGCGCGAUUGAAUGAGCCGAUGUCGGAUUAGCUAGUUGGCGGGGUAAAGGCCCACCAAGGCGACGAUCCGUAGCUGGUCUGAGAGGAUGAUCAGCCACACUGGAACUGAGACACGGUCCAGACUCCUACGGGAGGCAGCAGUGGGGAAUAUUGGACAAUGGGCGCAAGCCUGAUCAAGCCAUACCGCGUGGGUGAAGAAGGCCUUCGGGUUGUAAAGCCCUUUUGUUGGGAAAGAAAAGCAGCAGGUUAAUACCGCGCUGUUCUGACGGUACCCAAAGAAUAAGCACCGGCUAACUUCGUG
rnacentral:rRNA from 1 species